GAUGAACGCUGGCGGCGUGCCUAAUACAUGCAAGUCGAGCGAACAGAUGAGGAGCUUGCUCCUCUGACGUUAGCGGCGGACGGGUGAGUAACACGUGGAUAACCUACCUAUAAGACUGGGAUAACUUCGGGAAACCGGAGCUAAUACCGGAUAAUAUAUUGAACCGCAUGGUUCAAUAGCGAAAGACGGUUUUGCUGUCACUUAUAGAUGGAUCCGCGCCGCAUUAGCUAGUUGGUAAGGUAACGGCUUACCAAGGCAACGAUGCGUAGCCGACCUGAGAGGGUGAUCGGCCACACUGGAACUGAGACACGGUCCAGACUCCUACGGGAGGCAGCAGUAGGGAAUCUGCCGCAAUGGGCGAAAGCCUGACGGAGCAACGCCGCGUGAGUGAUGAAGGUCUUCGGAUCGUAAAACUCUGUUAUUAGGGAAGAACAAAUGUGUAAGUAACUAUGCACGUCUUGACGGUACCUAAUCAGAAAGCCACGGCUAACUACGUG
rnacentral:rRNA from 1 species